AGAGUUUGAUCCUGGCUCAGGAUGAACGCUGGCGGCGUGCUUAACACAUGCAAGUCGAGCGAAGCACUUAGGAAAGAUUCUUCGGAUGAUUUCCUAUUUGACUGAGCGGCGGACGGGUGAGUAACGCGUGGGUAACCUGCCUCAUACAGGGGGAUAACAGUUAGAAAUGACUGCUAAUACCGCAUAAGACCACAGCACCGCAUGGUGCAGGGGUAAAAACUCCGGUGGUAUGAGAUGGACCCGCGUCUGAUUAGUUAGUUGGUGGGGUAACGGCCUACCAAGGCGACGAUCAGUAGCCGACCUGAGAGGGUGACCGGCCACAUUGGGACUGAGACACGGCCCAAACUCCUACGGGAGGCAGCAGUGGGGAAUAUUGCACAAUGGGGGAAACCCUGAUGCAGCGACGCCGCGUGAGCGAAGAAGUAUUUCGGUAUGUAAAGUUCUAUCAGCAGGGAAGAAAAUGACGGUACCUGACUAAGAAGCCCCGGCUAACUACGUGCCAGCAGCCGCGGUAAUACGUAGGGGGCAAGCGUUAUCCGGAUUUACUGGGUGUAAAGGGAGCGUAGACGGAGCAGCAAGUCUGAUGUGAAAACCCGGGGCUCAACCCCGGGACUGCAUUGGAAACUGUUGAUCUGGAGUGCCGGAGAGGUAAGCGGAAUUCCCUAGUGUAGCGGUGAAAUGCGUAGAUAUUAGGAGGAACACCAGUGGCGAAGGCGGCUUACUGGACGGUAACUGACGUUGAGGCUCGAAGCGUGGGGAGCAAACAGAUAGAUACCCUGUAGUCGCCCGUAACGAUGACUAC
rnacentral:rRNA from 1 species